AUUGUUAUAUAGAGUCUGGCCUGCCCACUGAUAUAAAUGUAAAGGGCCGCGGUAUUUUGACCGUGCGAAGGUAGCAUAAUCAUUAGUCUUUUAAUUGGAGGCUUGUAUGAAUGGUUGGACAAAAAGUGAGCUGUCUCGGUUGUAUGUAAUUGAAUUUAACUUUUAAGUGAAAAGGCUUAAAUGUACUAAGGGGACGAUAAGACCCUAUAAAGCUUUACAAUUGUUUAGUUGGAUUAUGAAAUUGUUAGUAUAACUUAAUUUAGUUAGUAUUUGUUUCGUUGGGGCGACGAGAAUAUAAUUUAAGAUAACUGUUCUUUUUAAUUAAUUACAAAUUUGUUUGGGAGAAGAUUGAUCCUUUAUUAAAGAUGUAUAAGAUUAAGUUACUUUAGGGAUAACAGCGUAAUUUUCUUUGAGAGUCCUUAUCGACAAGAAAGAU
rnacentral:rRNA from 1 species